rnacentral:RNase_P_RNA from 1 species
UAUAUGAGACGGCCUGUCGCAUCUCCUAUAGGGAUGAGGAAAGUCCGGACAACGAAGAGCGCCGUACCGCUUAAUAAACGGGGUCGCGCAACGGCGCGAUACAGACAGUGUCACAGAAACUAUACUUCCGCGGUCUUCCGCGGUAAAGGUGAAAACGUGCGGUAAGAGCGCACGAAUUUCGGGAGUAAUUCCGGAAUUGGACAAACCUUGCGGGUUGAAAUGCCAUGUACAUUGCGCUUCAUUGUGAAUUGGAUUACUCGUCCAAUUGCCUCAGGGCUGGCGCAAGGGGUAGGCAGAUAAGAUAAAUGACAGGCUGUACCCAUUGGGUGCAACAGAAUCCGGCUUACAGUCUCACAUACCAA